GCUGCCUUGGGAAACAUUAUCCUCCAGGUCGCUCUGGCAGCCCUCGUCAUUGAGCGAGUUCUGCUUGGUGACCUUGGGAGACAGCAGCUUGACCAGGUCAGUGAGC
rfam:Cricetulus griseus cell line CHO-K1, whole genome shotgun sequence.